AUUGAACGCUGGCGGCAGGCCUAACACAUGCAAGUCGAGCGGAUGAAGGGAGCUUGCUCCUGGAUUCAGCGGCGGACGGGUGAGUAAUGCCUAGGAAUCUGCCUGGUCGUGGGGGAUAACGUCCGGAAACGGGCGCUAAUACCGCAUACGACCUGAGGGCGACAGUGGGGGAUCUUCGGAUCUCUCGCCAUCAGGUGAGCCUAGGUCGGAUUAGCUAGUUGGUGGGGUAAUGGCCUACCAAGGCGACUAUCCGUAACUGGUCUGAGGGGAUGAUCAGUCACACUGGAACUGAGACAGGGUCCACACUCCUGCGGGAAGCAGCAGUGGAGAAUAUUACACGAUGGACCAAAGCCUGAUCCAGCCAAGCCGCGUGUGUCAAGAAGGUCUUCGGAUUGUAGAGCACUGUAGGUUGGGGGGAAGUGCAGUAAGUUAACACCUUACUGUAUUGACGGUACCAACAGAAUAAGCACCGGCUAACUUCGUG
rnacentral:rRNA from 1 species